AUGGACACCGGGGCGAGAGAGAGGGAGAACUCUCCGGUCAGCCGGAGGAACCGGUCAGGUGAUGAGAAGUCUCCGCCCCGGUGUUCCCAGCUCACAAAUGGGAAGGAGAGAGAGAAGGAGCAGGAGAGAGAGAGGAACAGGGAACGGGAGAUGGUCCGGGAGAAGGAGAGGGAGGGCGAGAGAGGGCGAGAGCAGCGCUCCGACAGAGACGCGGAGUUGGAGAGGAGGAGAGAGCAUGGCAGAGGAGCAGAGGAACGGGCGAGGAGUGAAAAAGAAGCGGAGAAGCAGGAAGCGAAGGAGCCGAAUCCAGCAAAGGUGGAGAAGCUGAAGAAGAAUAAAACCAAACCCGACAGCAGCAGCAGCAGUAGUGGUAGCAGCAGCAGCAGCAGUGAAGAUAGUGACAGCUCUUCAUCCUCCUCUUCCUCAGGUUCGUCUUCUUCCUCGUCCUCCUCAUCCUCCUCCUCUUCCUCUGAUGAAGAGGAACAGAAGAAGAAAAAGACUGCCCAGGGACCUAAAGAUGCUCCGCCUCCUGCUGCUCCUGUCGCUCAGAGAAUGGAAGAGAAGACCAGUCAGGGUCAAGAGAGCCCGCCGCCAGCCAAUCAGAGGCGCGAGCAGAGGGAUGAUGGGAAGGGCCGGAGAGGUCGGGAGCAAGACAGAGCGCCGUCCAGUUCUCCGCCCAGGCUCGCGAGGCGGGACGGGAACACCGGACAGGCCAGAGGUCGGGAGAGGUACACGCCCUCGGAGAUGGACGGAGCCAGCCCGCCGCCAUCGUCCCAGGCUGGCAGGGAGCGUUACUCCCCCUCCGACCUCACCAGGGGGCGCCCGAGAGACCCCGACAGGGGGCGGGACACUCAGCACGUCGAGCGGGACUGUCGGAGAAGGGUGGCCUCGCCCACCUCUCCCAGGUCAAAAGGAAACAACGCGGCGGCGCGGCGUACCCCGCCCCGCCAGUACCAGGACGAAGGUCCGCGCGGCCGCUCCCCACGUAGGGCCUCUCCCCUGCGCCCCGCGCCGCCCGCCUCUCAGCCGGACCGCGGCCGGGACCACGAGAGGGACCGCGAGAGGCAGAGGGAGAAAGAACGGGAGCGGGACCGAGAGAGGAAGAUGAGUAGGCGGAGCCGGUCCCGGAGCCCGAGGAGGCGGAGCCCGAGGAGGCGGAGCCGGUCCCGGAGCCCGAGGAGGCGGAGCCCUGCAUACAGACCCCGCCCAUCUCCGUCCCCACAACGGCGGCGCAGGAGCAGCCGGUCGCUGUCCAUAGAGCGAGAGAGGGGCCGGGAGAGGCAGCGAGAGAGAGAGGCUGAACAGGAAAAGGAAAGGAAGAAAGAACGCGAGCGAGAACAGGAGCGAGAGAGGAGAGGGCGAGAGCCUCCCAGAGACCCCACCCCACCCCGUCGCUCAGCAUCUUCGUCCUCGUCUUCGUCCUCAUCUUCUUCUGGAAGUUCGUCAUCCUCAGACUCCUCCCCUCAAAAACAGAAAGCAGAGGAGAAGAAAAGAGAUGAGAGAAGUGCCAAAGCUGACUGUGAACGGGAGAGGAGGACUGAGCGGGAACCCAAAGGGCAGGGGACAGACAAGAGUCGAGAGACACGCCCACCUCCCAGCCAAUGUGACCACAGGUCCCAACCCAAGGAGGCACCACCUCCCUCUCGCUCACCUGCUAAAGUGGAGAUGAAUGGUAAAAAGGAGGGGGCGGUGCUGCAGAAGAAGCCACAGAAGAGCUCCCAGGGCAGCUCAAGCUCUUCAUCAUCAUCCUCAUCUUCGUCGUCUUCAUCCUCAUCAGACAGUUCUGACUCUGAGGAGGAGCAAAAGAAAAGUGGUAACAAGGCAACUGCACGCAGCAGCUCCUCUUCCUCAGACAGUGAGAAAGAAGUCAAGAAGAAGAGUCCUGCCCGACCUGCAAGGGUUCCAGCCGAUUCCCUGCGAGACUCGCGCUCCCUCAGUUACUCCCCUCCAGCUAGACGAGCUGCACAUUCCUCGCCAGCACGCAGGAGUAACAAGAGGAAGUCUGAGAGCAGGUCACCCGGCAACAAGCGGAGGAAAUGAACCCCUUUCAUUCUGUCUCACUCCCCUCUGUUGUUUUUGGGCCGUCCCAUCGUGGUCAGAGGGGCGUGGCACGUGGAAGAUUGGUGAAGACCAUGAGAUCACCAUUAAACAGCCACGGACCGUGGAUGAAUGGUUAUUACAGUUCCUUCAGUAGCCAUGUGAUCUUUUUGUGGUUAAUGAUAAAAGGAAUGAAAUGUUUGACGCAGACACAGGACAGUCCAGAGGUGGCAAUCCCACAUACACAUACAACCACCCAAAACCAACCUAUAUUAAGAUAUAACUUGCUAUUUUCUGUGGGCCCAGUGAUGUCCUGAAUGUAGAUAUGACUUUGGUAAUUUGAUUUUCACUUUAAUUGUGCUGUAUCAUGACUGUGAGUAGAAAACUUUUUUUUCCCCCCCUUUUUUUUCUUUCUCUUUGUGGAAAUUAAAGAAUUGAAAUAAAAUUUGUUUCCUUUGAUAUUUGACCA
rnacentral:lncRNA from 1 species